rnacentral:lncRNA from 10 species
GUCUUGCUCUGUCACCUAGGCUGGAGUGCAGUGGUGCAAUCAUAACUCACUGCAGCUUCGACCUCCUGGCCUCAAGUGAUCCUCUCACCUCAGCCUCCCAAGUAGCUGAGACCACAGGUGCCAUUCUCUCUCUCUCUCUCUCUCUCUCUCUCUGUUUCUCUCUUUCUCUCUCCCUCUCUCCCUCUUUCUCUCUCAGAAACGGGGUCUCACUAUGUUGCCCAGGCUCAUCUUGAAAUCCUGGCCUCAAGUGAUCCUCCCACCUUGGCCUCCCAAAGUGCUCAGAUUACAAGCAUGAGCCAUUGCACCUGGCCUGAAAUAUUAUUUACCUUGAUUAUUGAGUUUUUUGGUGCCCCUUUAAGUUUUGCACCUGAGGCUGGUGCCUCACCCAACUCACAUUAGCCCCUGCCCUGAUUAUUUCUAACAUGCAAUCCACACCAUAUCAUUAGUUCCUCAGCAAAUACUCUACUAUUAUCACUACUUCACAGUUGCAAAAACUGAGGCACAACUGUGCCCAAUGUCCCAAAGGAAGGAGAAGAAAAAUCUGAACUUGAACCCCAGUUUCUUCGUUUUUUGGUUCAGAGCCUGCCCAGUAUAGCACUACAAUAAGCUGAAUUUUAUAAAUUGGGUUUUGAGUUAAGGAAUCAAAAGCUUCAGGCUUAAGUCCCACCUCUGCCCCAGAGUCUUCUGAGCCCUCCAUUUUCACAGACGUCAGUUGCCCUAGGUGGAACUGGACUUUAAUAUUCUCCACAUCCCUUAUUUUUUCCCAAAACAGUUUACCAGCUUUUUCUUUCCUGAACCAGGAGCAAUAGCAAAAAUUGGGAAUGGGAAGAAACAGGUACCAGCCAGGACACCUGAACGAACUUGGAGCUCAGGAACCCAGGAGGGGAUUGGAGAGAGUGGGGAGACUCCAUGGUCCACAAUGAAUGCUCCUUCCCCAUCCGAAAAAAUCCCCUAGCCCAGUUUUUGGGCAGAUGCCAGACUUUUAUUCUGAAGCGUGGGCCACAACCUAUGAGGUAAUCUUUGGAGCUUCAUUCUGAGGCGGAAUCCCAUUGGCCAGUUGGGGAAGCCCCUCCCAGGAUUCCUGGCGCUCCGCCUUCCCUGAAGCCUAUAAAAGCGCAGGUCCCCGCCUCGGCAGCCACGGGACACCUGCAUCUGCCAACAAGACUGGAAGCAGAAAGGGACAGAGACGGCGAAGUUUGACGGUCUGGAAAGCAGAGACCAGCAGGGCUGACUGCUUGGGAGCACCAAAUAUCCGGACAGCGCCUCUCGGGAGGUCCGAGAAGAGAACCGCGAUCUGUUUCAGCACCGGGGCUCAGGACAGUUCCCAGCGGGCUCCGUUUCGUCUCCAGAACCCUGGACAGCUCCUCCAGCUUGGAAUGCACUCCCUCCACCUCCAACCAGAGCUCCCCACAACUGACCCUGCCUUCUUCUGCAAGCUCCAUUUCAUCAAGGGAAACGAUCCUUAUUGCCUCACCAUUUCCCACGUGAAGUCUGUAUUGACAUUCUCAUAGACCUGGGAUAUUGUGUCUGCAGCACAUAGUCCAAUUAUUUUCAUGUUAUCUACUGACAGGUCUAUUUGUCUCCCUGUUACACUGUGAGCUCCGUGAGGGCAGAAACAAUGUUAGUAUUUUCACUGCUGUGUCCCCAGCGCCUGGUCCGGGGCCCGGCACACAGCAGGCAUAUAAUAAGCAUGUGUUGAAUCAAUAAAGGCAUCAAAGAAUAAACCAAUACAUCAAUCAAUAAAUGAAUGAAUGGCCUCAGCACACACAGGAAGAUCCUUCUUCUAGGUCUCCCCCAGAGAGAUACUGGAGGGCAAUGGUUGCUGGAGGUGUUUAUUGGGGAAGCAUAAUUGAAUUUGUGGACACUUAAGGGCCGGCCAGCCAACUCACAGCCCCAAGAGAGAGAGCCAGGCUCAUUUAAUUAGCAAUUACAAGGCACUGAUUCCUCAUUAGCUCUGGCAACCCUCGUCUCCCUCCUCAGCCCCAGACAAAUGAAAUCUUUCUCUCUCUCCCAGGAGUACUGCCUCAGUGGGUCCAUUAACAAGCAGAGAAAAUGAGAUUAGAAGACACCUAAAUGCCAGAGGCACUUUAUGAAUGGGCUGAGCAGAGGGAGGUUCAAUGUCUGGGUUAGGUCUAAUUGUGGGAGGUUUCCUGGUCUAUUUAGAAUUGCCCCCUGGGAAUGCAAGGUCUUUCAGAAAGGAAAAGGCACACAGAUAUUGCCUUCUGGGGUCCUCAAUGGAGGAGGACAUUCUGCUAUGGGUGUCUCCCAGUCACCCCAAAUUAAUCAUUUCAAAGUGAACACUCAAUCUGCCCAGCCCCUAGCUUCCUCCCCUGACAUGCCCAUGAAUAUGACAGUCCCUCUACAUGCCCAAGAUCCUCCCCUCCUCAUCCACUCCCCAUGAUCCCCAAGAUGAGUCACUGUGCUCAAAUCCAUCCUCUCUCCUCCAGCCCUCUGCCUCCAUGACCUCCCUCCAGCCCUCUGCCUCCAUGACCUCCGCCUCCCUGCAUGUCCGGAUCUCCUCACUGUCUCCCCUCUGAGCAUACACACACAUACAGCCUGUUCAUUCUCUACAUGCAGCGAGGGGACUUUCCAGAACACACAUCUGACCAAGUUCCACUCCUGCCUGUCACCCUUCCAAGAGCCCCACUGACUGCAGAAUAACGUUCAAAUAUCCGGUUGGGCGUGGUGGCUCAUGCCUGCAGUCCCAGCACUUUGGGAGGCCAAGGUGGGUGGAUCACUUGCACAGGACCACAGGCGUGUGCCACCACACCCAGCUAAUUUUUAUAUUUUUGGUAGAGACGGAGUUUCACCAUGUUGGCCAGGCUGACCUCAAGUGAUCCACCCGCCUCAACCUCCCAAAGUGCUGGGAUUACAGGCAUGAGUCACUGCACCGGUCUAAUUUUUUCAGAGUCUCACUCUUGCCCAGGCUGGAGUGCAGUAGCAUGAUCUCGGUUCACUGCAACCUCUGCCUCCUGGUUUCAAGCGAUUCUCUUGGCUCAGCCUCCUGAGCAGCUGGGAUUACAGGCACGUGCCACCACACUUAGCUAAUUUUUGUAUUUUUAGUAGAGAUGGGGGUCUCACCAUGCUGGCACAGUUGGUCUUGAACUCCUGACCUCAAGUGAUCCACCCACCUCGGCUUCCCAAAGUGCUGGGAUUACAGACGUGAGCCACCGCGCCCGGCCAGCCUUUAUUGAUUCUUUUUAAAGCCACACUAACCUUUUAUUUUCCCCCAAAGACCCCUGGGAGCCCUCAGUUUUUCCUGGCAGUUUCAUCUUUGUACCCCUGACCUCCCCACACACACGCCUAGCUCAGUGCUGGCAUCCAAUAUUCACUUUGGGUAUAAAUGCUUGUGCCUGAGCCUAUCACCUUCAUCACACAGAAAAUCCUGGAGGCCACACACCCCUGUAAAGACGAGCCAUUACCCACAGAGGUCCAACCAACUUACCACCCUCUCCCAGCCACCCCCAAGGACCCAGCUUGCAGCUGCCUGCUCAAUGGCUUUAGAAACUAAAAAAGGUGAAUGAGUUUCCAUCACUGCCCUCCUGGGCUUUGCCGUUAUGGCUGGUUAACUUGACAGAAGAACACAUUAUACUUCAUUUUUUGCUGUUGUCUUGUUGGAAAAAAAAGUGACAGCUGGGUGCAGUGGUGCACACUGUAGUCACAGCUACUCAGGAGAAUUGCUUGAGCACAGGAAUUGGAGGCUACACUGAGCAAUGAUCGCCUCACUGCACUCCAGCCUGAACGACAGAGCAAGACCCUCUUAAAAAAUACGUGAGAGAGGGUGCGUAUGAUGGCUCAUGCCUGUAAUCCCAGCAGUUUG